CUCGUCUCUAAAUCCUCUCCUUGAGAAUUUAGACUAUAAACACUAACACUAUGUUUGGUUAAAUGGAAUUGCUAUUCCAUUACGACAUGGUUCAAAAAUUUAAAGGAAAACAGCCGUUUGGUUGGCUGAAUGCUCAAAACGUCGAAUGGAGAUUACAGGUUCAUUCUAAAAAUCGCCGAAUAGCCAUUCCGGGGAGGAGGUGCCGAAUGGCUAUUCCAACCUCUCCAUCGAAUGGACCUUUUUUUCUCCUCCAAAAAUACCCUUUCUUAGAUUAAAUUUUCUCUAACGGUUUCAACUUUUGUUUUCUUUUGGUCAUUCGACAAUCUCAAGCUCAAAUCAAUAUAAAAGGAAGCGAAUCAACUUGAAGGCCAAAUCAACUGGAUUUUGUUGUAAGUUCAAUUCAACUAGGGUUUGUUUUGCAUUUUGAUUGAUUUUUUUUUGUUUCUGAUGAUUUGUCCAAGGGGAAUUGAAAUGGAUUCUGCAACUGUUCACGAGGAGAUCGAUUCAUUAUUCGAGUCAACUCCUCCUCUCAAAGAUUCGGCUAAAAUCAUAGACAAAUUGAAUCAAGUCAUCCAAUUUGAUUCUCCUUCAGGAGAAGGAAAAGGGAGAAGGGUAGAAGAGCUGCUAAAACGAUGCCCAAAUCUUAAGAAAAUUAUUAUUUUUAGGGUUAUUUCAAAAGCCAAGCCACACAAGGAAUGCCAGGUGUAUUCAUCUGGCAGCAGUCAAUCUGCUCAAUUUACUAAUUCGUGGAAAAGAAUUGAUGUAUUUCACCAUUGAUUCAACAUUCUAUGUUUCAUUCACAUUUAUGUUAUAUCUUACAUUACGGAUUGGGGGAAAGAUGCCAAGGGAAGUGUAUGCAGUAGCCAUCGUUGGUCCUUUUCCAAUUGCUGUAACUAAUUUAUUGGAUUUAACAAAUGGGUAGCUUAGGAUACUGAGUUUCCAUUGAUUGCAACUGCAAAAGCUUUACAAAUUUUCAAGAAGAGGAGCCAAUGGUUGCAUGUUAUUCAAGUAUAUUCAGUCUAUUGGUAUUCUUGCUUUGUAUUUUCCAGCUUCUAAAAUACAUUCAGUCAUUGAUGCAGGGAAGCUUUAUAUGUUUAAUAAUUUUCUAUUAAUAUAUAUUAGAUUAAAAUAGUCUUGUAUUAUCAUAUUUGAUUCUAUAGAAUACUCUCGGUCAAUAUUUUAAAGGAACCUUAAUGCUAUUCUUUGUGAAUAGAUACUUUCAAUCAA